rnacentral:rRNA from 1 species
GGCGAACGCUGGCGGCGUGCUUAACACAUGCAAGUCGAACGCUGAAGCUCAGCUUGCUGGGUGGAUGAGUGGCGAACGGGUGAGUAACACGUGAGUAACCUGCCCUCUUCUUUGGGAUAACGCCCGGAAACGGGUGCUAAUACUGGAUAUUCACUGAUUCUCGCAUGGGGGUUGGUGGAAAGGUUUUUUCUGGUGGGGGAUGGGCUCGCGGCCUAUCAGCUUGUUGGUGGGGUGAUGGCCUACCAAGGCUUUGACGGGUAGCCGGCCUGAGAGGGUGACCGGUCACAUUGGGACUGAGAUACGGCCCAGACUCCUACGGGAGGCAGCAGUGGGGAAUAUUGCACAAUGGGCGAAAGCCUGAUGCAGCGACGCCGCGUGAGGGAUGGAGGCCUUCGGGUUGUAAACCUCUUUCGCUCAUGGUCAAGCCGCAGCUUUGGGUUGUGGUGAGGGUAGUGGGUAAAGAAACGCCGGCUAACUACGU